rnacentral:rRNA from 1 species
AACGAACGCUGGCGGCAUGCCUAACACAUGCAAGUCGAGCGAGACCUUCGGGUCUAGUGGCGCACGGGUGCGUAACGCGUGGGAACCUGCCCUUAGGUUCGGAAUAACUCCCCGAAAGGGGUGCUAAUACCGGAUAAUGUCUUCGGACCAAAGAUUUAUCGCCUUUGGAUGGGCCCGCGUUGGAUUAGCUAGUUGGUAGGGUAAAAGCCUACCAAGGCGACGAUCCAUAGCUGGUCUGAGAGGAUGAUCAGCCACACUGGGACUGAGACACGGCCCAGACUCCUACGGGAGGCAGCAGUGGGGAAUAUUGGACAAUGGGCGAAAGCCUGAUCCAGCAAUGCCGCGUGAGUGAUGAAGGCCUUAGGGUUGUAAAGCUCUUUUACCCGGGAUGAUAAUGACAGUACCGGGAGAAUAAGCGCCGGCUAACUCCGUG